rnacentral:rRNA from 1 species
AUUGAACGCUGGCGGCAGGCCUAACACAUGCAAGUCGAGCGAGCGGCGGGCGGGUGUGAAAUGUAUGGGGACUGCCCGAUAGAGGGGGAUAACUACACGAAAAGGUAGCUCAUACAGCAUACUAUAGGAUAACCCAUAUGGGAUUAGCUAGUAGGUGGGGUAAUGGCUCACCUAGGCGACGAUCCCUAGCUGGGCUGAGAGGAUGAUCAGCCACACUGGGACUGAGACACGGCCCAUACUCCUACGGAGGCAACAGUGGGGAAUAUUGCACAAUGGGCGCAAGCCUGAUGCAGCCAUGCCGCGUGUAUGAAGAAGGCCCUAGGGUUGUAAAGUACUUUCAGUCGGGAGGCGUUACCGACAGAAGAAGCACCGGCUAACUCCGUGCCAGCAGCCGCGGUAAUUC